rnacentral:rRNA from 1 species
GAUGAACGCUGGCGGCGUGCCUAAUACAUGCAAGUCGAGCGAACAGACGAGGAGCUUGCUCCUCUGACGUUAGCGGCGGACGGGUGAGUAACACGUGGAUAACCUACCUAUAAGACUGGGAUAACUUCGGGAAACCGGAGCUAAUACCGGAUAAUAUAUUGAACCGCAUGGUUCAAUAGUGAAAGACGGUUUUGCUGUCACUUAUAGACGGAUCCGCGCCGCAUUAGCUAGUUGGUAAGGUAACGGCUUACCAAGGCAACGAUGCGUAGCCGACCUGAGAGGGUGAUCGGCCACACUGGAACUGAGACACGGUCCAGACUCCUACGGGAGGCAGCAGUAGGGAAUCUGCCGCAAUGGGCGAAAGCCUGACGGAGCAACGCCGCGUGAGUGAUGAAGGUCUUCGGAUCGUAAAACUCUGUUAUUAGGGAAGAACAAAUGUGUAAGUAACUAUGCACGUCUUGACGGUACCUAAUCAGAAAGCCACGGCUAACUACGUG